UACGAAGGGGGCUAGCGUUGUUCGGAAUUACUGGGCGUAAAGCGUAUGUAGGCGGAUCGUUAAGUCAGGGGUGAAAUCCUGGAGCUCAACUCCAGAACUGCCUUUGAUACUGGCGAUCUCGAGUCCGGGAGAGGUGAGUGGAACUGCGAGUGUAGAGGUGAAAUUCGUAGAUAUUCGCAAGAACACCAGUGGCGAAGGCGGCUCACUGGCCCGGUACUGACGCUGAGGUGCGAAAGCGUGGGGAGCAAACAGG
rnacentral:rRNA from 1 species